CUUCUUCUGUUCCUGAGAAAAUCUUACCAAGUUCAGGCUGUUCGACGAUGACUCUCAUUUUCACAGGAAAAUGGAAGGAAAUGAAGA